rnacentral:rRNA from 1 species
CCUACGGGAGGCAGCAGUGGGGAAUAUUGCGCAAUGGGCGAAAGCCUGACGCAGCGACGCCGCGUGAGGGAUGAAGGUCUUCGGAUCGUAAACCUCUGUCAGCAGUGAAGAACGGUCACUGUGCUAAUCAGCAGUGAAUUGACGGUACCUGCAAAGGCAGCACCGGCUAACUCCGUGCCAGCAGCCGCGGUAAUACGGAGGGUGCGAGCGUUAAUCGGAAUUACUGGGCGUAAAGCGCUCGUAGGCGGUAUGUCAAGUCACGGGUGAAAUCCCCGCGCUCAACGGGGGAACUGCCUUUGAAACUGGCAAACUGGAGUGUGUGAGAGGAGAGUGGAAGUCCAGGUGUAGGAGUGAAAGCCGUAGAUAUCGGGAGGAACAUCAGUGGCGAAGGCGACUAUCUGGCACAUAACUGACGCUGAGGAGCGAAAGCGUGGGUAGCAAACAGGAUUAGAUACCCCUGUAGUC